rnacentral:piRNA from 1 species
UGCCUCACUACUCCUCCGGGUCC